AUUGAACGCUGGCGGCAGGCCUAACACAUGCAAGUCGAGCGCGCGGCGGACGGGUGAGUAAUGUCUGGGACACUGCCUGAUGGAGGGGGAUAACUACUGGAAACGGUAGCUAAUACCGCAUACCAUCAGAGGUGCCCAGAUGGGAUUAGCUAGUAGGUGGGGUAACGGCUCACCUAGGCGACGAUCCCUAGCUGGUCUGAGAGGAUGACCAGCCACACUGGAACAGAGACACGGUCCAGACUCCUACGGGAGGCAGCAGUGGAGAAUAUGGCACAAUGGGCGAAAGCCUGAGGCAGCCAGGCCGCGUGUGUGAGGAAGGCCUUCGGGUUGUAAAGCACUUUCAGCGGGGAGGCGUUACCCGCAGAAGAAGCACCGGCUAACUCCGUGCCAGCAGCCGCGGUAAUUC
rnacentral:rRNA from 1 species